ensembl:lncRNA
GUCUUUAAGUCCUGUAAGUUGCGAGGUGGGGCCUCCAUGGAUCGGACCUGUUUGUCCAGGACAUCCCACAUAUGCUCGAUUGGAUUGAGAUCUGAGGAAUUUGGAGGCCAAGUCAACACCUUUAACUCCUUGUUUGGUUCCUCAAACCAUUCCUGAACCAUUUUUGCUUUGUAGCAGGGCACAUUGUUAGAAAAUUAUUUAGCUUCAAAUGACCAUUCUGUAAUAAUAAAUCUGAUUGCCUUGACAAAUCAAGCAAGCCUCCUCUACCUCCAGCCAACAUGCUACUUUUAAUCAACCGCAUUCAUUCAGGUAUACCUUAGACAAUGACAUACUGAGCCCUGAACAGAGAUUAUCCUAUGAGGAGAACGGCUUCAUCGUUGUCAAGGGCCUGGUGUCUGAGGAGGACAUCAACAGAUUUAGUCUCGCAACUAGUGAUUUCUGGAUGCCCAACAACCUGCCUCCUACACCCCAUCACCUACUUUCUUCUCCAUACACUCUCUGAAGGCCUCCCAUUCUUCACUUCAACUCACUGACCACUGGCUGCGUUCCCUCGAAAAUCCAGAAAGCAACACUUGACCAUCUGAUGUCAAAAACAACAGACAGCUAUUCAGAUUCUCCUCCGUCUCUGGACUGUGGGCUUCUCAGGCUCUGCACACACUUAGAUUGCUCACUACCUGGGAGGCCGCCCCCGUUCCAGGUGUUCACGAGAGGAUCUGCUCUGCGGGCUGUCACUACUGUGUCCCUAGACUUCGGUUCUAUGCACUUACAACUACUGGCUCUAUUUAUCCCAGCUUGCUAUCUUAAAAUGAAUGCACGCC